UCGGGAAUUUUGGGCAAUGGGGGAAACCCUGACCCAGCAACGCCGCGUGAAGGAUGAAGUAUUUCGGUAUGUAAACUUCGAAAGAAUAGGAAGAAUAAAUGACGGUACUAUUUAUAAGGUCCGGCUAACUACGUGCCAGCAGCCGCGGUAAUACGUAGGGUGCGAGCGUUAAUCGGAAUUACUGGGCGUAAAGGGUGCGCAGGCGGCCCCGCAUGUCAGGCGUGAAAUCCCCGAGCUCAACUUGGGAAUGGCGCUUGAAACUACGGGGCUGGAGUGUGGCAGAGGGAGGUGGAAUUCCACGUGUAGCGGUGAAAUGCGUAGAGAUGUGGAGGAACACCGAUGGCGAAGGCAGCCUCCUGGGCCAACACUGACGCUCAUGCACGAAAGCGUGGGGAGCAAACAGGAUUAGAUACCCCAGUAGUCCCUGAGCGG
rnacentral:rRNA from 1 species